GGGGCGUUAGCUCAGUGGUAGAGCGUCUGCAUGGCAUGCAGAAGGUCAGCGGUUCAAAUCCGCUACGCUCCA
rnacentral:tRNA from 1 species